rnacentral:piRNA from 1 species
UUCAGAACGACACAAUUUUGA